rnacentral:misc_RNA from 1 species
AAUAAUAAUAAUAAUAAUAACAACUCAUAAUUUUGUUGUGCAAGCAUCGGAAUGCAAAAGGAUUUGCAAAAACAAGUAGUGUUUCCCAUUUUCAUUCAGUUGUGAAAAGAAUUGCAGAGAAGUAAAGUCAUUUUCUUCUAUGAGAAUAUGGAUGGAGUAAAUGUCCCAACAACCAUUAAAUUCUGGACAGCAGUUGAAACUUGAAAUGCAUGUAAAGUCAUCAG